UCUGGUAAACAUACUUUAUUAGAUUUCUACAUUCUGUUUUAUGCUUUCACUACAUCCUCCAGUGUGUGUCGCACUGUCGCUUACAUGGUAAUUGUCCUUUGUGCUUUGAUCAAUUGAAUAGAUACUACGAAGCAGCAGAUUUCAGUUUAAAUCACCGUCAUGGAAAUUAUUCAUUGUGUAAAAUUUAUUUAUGGGCGUUCACAAAACUAAUGUCUAUUUUCAUUAUUACUAACUUUGUUAAUGAAGAUGCCUGGUUGCCUUGCCUCAUUCAUUUGUUUUUCGUAUCAUUGCAGUGAAUGCAUCAUCAGCCAGUUACUUUGUAUCAUUUCUGUGUACAUUAACGCACCACCAACAAUAUUCUUUUAACCUAUACAUCAUCUACUUAUGCAUUCAUUUUUUUUUCUUAUUAUUGCAGUGAAUGCAUCAUCAACCAAUUACUUCAAAUCAUCUCUGAAUACAUUCAUGCCCCACCAGUAACAUUCUUUUAACUUUUAACCUAUAUGGGAUCUACUUAUGGAAUAUAUAGUUGAUUGUACAUUCUCUUUCCAGAUAUUUCUUGCUCCGGAAUUCUUAUGUCCAUAUAGAGAAAAUUUUGAUAGAGAUUCUAGGAAGUUCAUACUGUAGUAUUGGUGGAAUUAAACGCUUUGUUGGAAGCAAAUAUUUCUUCAACCAUGAUCUCUGAGGUGUAUUUUCUAUAGGUACCGCCUCGUACUCAUCAUACUUUCAUAUUCUAAGCAGCCAACCCAUUGACUCAACUUUUGUCUGUAGCCAUAGUAUAUAUGUCCAUAGGACUUCCAUGGCAAUGCAUCCUUUCUGUCUUUGGAAAUGUUAUAAGCUAAGCUCUAAAGUCAUAUCAUUUGCUUGCAUAUUUGGCAAAGGCAUCCUUUGUCUGUCUACAAUAUUUUGUUUGUGGAACUGAGGUGUUGUUGUUGUUGUUGUUUUACCUUUGUGGAACUUUAAGUACCCGUUAGAUAACGGCUGCUAAUUUAAUGUUACCUCAAGAAACCUUGGGUUCUUAUUGCAUUGGGUAUUUCUUUUUUUUUUUUGGUUCGUGUUGUUCUCCUGGAGAAAGUAAUUGCUUCAAAAUUGUGCCUCCUGGGUUGUAUAGAAUUGGAGCCAAUGCGCUCUGAUCACGCUAAAUGACUGUUGGGACUCAGGGUCAGGGAGUUGUCUUAGAAAGGCGACAUAAUGGUCAGAAAUCGCCACUGUAUUCUGAAUUCAGAGUUCCCAUUUGUUCAUCUGGGAUUUCACAUUCUUCAAAAGAAUGUUGGGUUAUUUCAACCGAUCUAAAAAAAGAGAGAAAAUGUUGGGUUUUUAUUGAUUUCCUUGUAAGGAUUCUGAAUCGUUAAUCUUUGAUAUGUCAUUUUUUUAAUAACUAAUAACUAGAAGAUUUCAAAGUUCUAAGAGACGAAGAAGGAAAUAAGUAAUCAUAAGAAGAUUCAGCGAUGGCUGCUAGAGUUUGUUGUGUUUUCCAGAGAAUUUACAUAGAUGUUAGAAAAAAUUCCUGUUUUUGGGUCUAUUUUAAUCAUAUAAUUUUUUGUUUCCAACAAAUUCUUUAGGUUGUCGUCUUUUCUUCUAACUUGUUUGAGAAUGGAGUGUAGUAGUAGCAGUUGUUUUCAUCUUUUCUUAAGGGUUUCAGUCUAAGAAUCUAAUAGUGGUUAUUUUAUAGAUUCCAAUGUGGAGGGGGAAUGUUCUUGGGUUAAUUGAUUAUAAUUUUAAUGGCUAUUUCUUCUUAAUAUCUGGUCUCUAUUCAAAAUUUAAUGCUACCUAUGGCCCUUUUUUUAAUGUACAACUAGCCUACGAUUAACACAUUAAAACUAUACUAGAACAAAUAGAGUAAAGACUAAAGUUAAUUGAAGAUUGUAUUUCCUAGAGAUGAGAACCUCAUUGUCCACACAGUAAUCUUAACAGGUCACUUAAGCAUCUUGUCUCCUAUUUUUUCCGUUCGUAUUAUCUCGUUCGUUUGUUGUCACUGUUGCUGUUUUUGUUGGUGUGUGCUCUUUAGUUGUACUGGUGCACGGAUCAAAACAGAUUAAAGGAGGUCAUAACUCAGAAGGUAAAUGUUUUCAGCUGCAGUAGGCGCGUUUAUGUACAUGUAUCACUAACUUGGAGUUGAUAUCCUUGUCCUUUAAUCCAUCACUAGCGAUGGCAAUUGGGGCAGUGCAAGAAUUCACCCGCUAAGACUUUGACCCCCCCUGCCCUUCCGCGUUUACUAUUUUUCCAAAAUUUUGCCCUGACCUAUCAAACCGUGCCCCGCCCUGCCCUGUUUGUACUCUCUUCGUUUUUCUCUCGAUCUUUGCUGGUAUCAUAGCUUAAAAUGGAAAUGUAAAACCAGUUUUAAGAAUGAUCCCAUUUGGAAAUUGUUUUGUCAUCAUUUUCUGUGCUGGAAUUUUGAAAUUUGCUAUUUUCAGAAUUAUCAAUUUACUCCCUCCGUUCACUUUUACUUGCCCACUUUGGACUUUUCACACUGUUUAAGAAAUAAUAAAUGGAGUAUUACCAAUGUACCCAAAUUAAUUGAUACAUAUUUUUAUUGAAUUUGAAUAUGAUUUGAAGUGAGUAAUUAAUACUAUGGGUAAAAUAGGAAAAAAUAAAUUGUCUUACCUUGAUAUGCUAAAAGUGACAAGUAAAAGUGAAAAUCUAUUUUUAUAAUACUGGACAAGUAAAAAUGAACGGAGCGAAUAGAAUUUAGAUACCAUAGAGCUUAUGUAUUUUCCAUCUGACAAAGAGAGCAGUUCUUUAAGCUUUAAGAGGAAUUCUUGCUCAGUUUCUUGGUGUUUGGUUUGUUCGUUUAUUCUGAGUCUCUUGCUCUAUCUGGUCAUCUUAAUCAACAUUUAAAAAAAGAAAAUAUAAAAAUCAAUCCUUUUCCUUUUCGUCCUUUUUCAAUGAGUCCAAAAGUUUAAACAUGUGUAUGAAUAUUUUCUUUCUUCAUAUAGCGUAUCCCAGUUUCCCAAUUUGUUGAAAAGUGUUGAAAUUACACGUCUAGUGACUACUUUUUCUCACAGCUUUUAUUUACAAGGAAAAAAGAAAUCAAAACUAAAAACAAUAGCACGUUAGAAAAUUACGAAUUUAUUUUAUGUGUCACGUUAAGAAAUAUGGUUAGAACACAGCAUUACAUGAACCCAUAUUGCAAUUUUUUGGUUGGGACACAGCAUAACACUGCCAUCAUUUGGGCCUGGGACUAUUUUUCUACAAAACCCACCACCUUCCCUGCCUCGUUUAAGUGUCCAGCAAAAUAAAUUUGAGAAAAUUACACUCUAUGUUAAUUAGGGCAACAAUACUAUCAAAAUUGACCCAUUUUUUUAAUUCUUACAAAAAAAUGACUCAAACUUUUCUCUCUCACUCUCUCUCUCUCCUCUCUCUCUCUCUCUCUCUCUCUGACUGUCUGCUUAUAUGUUGGUAUAAGUGUAUGUAUAUGUAUGUAUAUAUUUGUAUAUUUUGAGCUAUUUUUUGUUAUGUAAAUUUUAGGCUAUUUUUUUUCCAAUGUAAGUGACUAACUUGUAUAUUUCUGAAAUUUUCCCAAAUAAAUUUUGGCCCCGCCCCGCCCCGUUUAAGUCUUUCCUUGCCCUGCCCGGUUAAGAAUUUGGCCCACACUGCCCCACCCUGCCCUGCCCCAAUUGCCAUUCCUGACCAUCGGUAAACUGGACUUGAAAAGUUAAAUAGGGAAAAAUAGUGUGCUCAAGAGGUACAUUUCUGUCAGAAUGUGGUAAUUAUUUCGCCACUUCAGUUUUAAAGGACCUAAGUUGAGUUUACUGCAGUCUAUCUUCCGUAUUUUGUAUGUUUCUUGACUAUCGUGAGCUAGCAGCCUAGCCUAUGAAUCAAAAGUGAUAAUCCGUCAGGAUGUACAUGUUAAAGAGGGGUGAUGGUGUUGUGACAAAGUUAUACUUAGAAUUACAAUUUUUACAUAAUUCAGUUGUAGGUCAGGAUGCAUGCCAGUUAACGUUCCAAAUUCUGAUAAAAAGAAAUUGUGUGUACUUUGAAUGUUACCUCCUUUUUCUGGUUAGAUUGACAAGUCUGGUAGUGGCUGGUCAUUGCCUGUGAUGUUCUAUAUUGUUGACAGGAGAUGCAUGAAAUAUUAUCUCAUGCAUGCUGAGUUUGGACUCCAUGCUUUCAUCUGUGGUUUUCAAUCCUGGUGCUUUUUUCUCUGUAGACGCUCCUUUUUUAACUCCACUGCUUCUGUUUUUGCUUUCUUGAUUUGCCAAGUAUAAUAAAAUCAAUAAGUGGUGCAAUGAAUAACAUUGAUCAGAGUUAAACAGUAAAGUGAAAUUAGGGAAAUAAUGUUUUACACUUCCACAAAAACAAGUAGCAAAGCGACCUGAAGGAGGAUCUCCAAGUUGGAGAUUUCUUCUCCUUCAGAAAAAGAAAAUAUGGCUACAGCUUCCGAGUUUAAACUUUAAAGACUUCCUGUUUAAUUUGUAACUAAUGCCUGCAAGAAUUCCUGUAAAAGCUUAAUAACUGAUAGAACGCCUAAAUACUUAUUGAAAUCCUUAUAAAGUUUAACGAGCAAUUUUGGAUGCACCCGUCUUUUAAAGAGCAUAACAAAUGCAUAUUACUUCCAUUUAGGUGUAUCAUAUGAUUAGGAAGGUUUUAAUACCUAUGGAAAAAUAACUGCUUUAAGAAGUUCUAACCAACUUUGCUUUCGGUCUGCAUCACUAAAUUGUUUCCUGUUUCUUUUUCUUUCCUUGUAUCAGUUCUACUUUUGUGAUCCGCUUCUCUUUCCUCUUCUGUUUCCUCCCCUCUUGGUGGUAGCUUCUUUCUGUAUAUGUCGUCUCAGCUUCUUCUUUAUGAAAUGGUAAAUAUAACAUCGAAUUAUCAACCAUGUUUGUCCUUUCAUUUCCUCUGCGUGUUAUCUGUCUUGCCUUGUCUUCCCUCAAACUUAUCCAAUUUUGUGUUUCUUGUUCAUGGAAGUAUGGAACAAAAGCAAGGGAUCAUCGUUGUUGUUGUCACCCGAUGUUAGGUUUGCGACUUUUAUGUUUCUCUUUUAUGAUUAUAAAACUUCUUCUGCACUGAUCUUCUUGUUCUUUUGGUUUCUGCAUUAUUCGCGCUUGAACAACAUGGAGCGGGCCGUUUGGGGAAUUAGGGGAAAAUCAUAUGGUUCCUGCCUUAACUAAUACUCUGCUUUAAAUGGGCCUUUAGGGGCUCUGGCUAAAAAAGCAAGGCAAAGCUUUGAGGCUAAUCCAAACAAGACCGCAUAGCACAGUGGAUUAGUGCUUUUGACUUCGGAUCAAAGGCUUUGCGGCUAUUCCUCGAGUAGAUACGAAUGCUAAAUUUCCUGCAAGAACAUUUGAUAGUGGAGAAUUUUGUUCCCCUAGCAUGUUGAUGGAUCAAUAGCAAUUCUCAUUGUAUACUUGCGCUGAAGUUGUUUGUAUACUUGAUCCUUUUUAGGAUGAACUUACUGUUUGGCGGUGCGGAACUUUGGAGAGUGGUGGAAAGGUUCCUUUCGGAAGAAGAUUUAAGACGAAAGCUAGAGGAGGAGAGGAUAAGACUUGGACUUUUAAGAAUUCAUCAGUUAUCACCGCAAAUGGCUUCCAAGUUUGGUUCCUCCAGAAGCACUCAUUCAGACCAAAAGAUGAGUUUCUCCUCCAUUCAUUUGGUGUUAUUCUCAAGGGUCUUCUUCUUUUUCGCCGUGACAUCUAUAAUUAAGAAUGCCUUUUAGUGACCAUGUAAUAUUAGAUGAAUGUUUCUUGGUAGUGAGUUAUUGAAACGUUAGGUACAAUAGAAUUAGUAUUUGAAUUAGGAAAAGCAAUAGGAAUAGUGCAGAAGAAAACCAAGAAAAUGAGAGCUAGCAGUUGCGAACUUAUGUAGACUUCCGUGGAGGAACACCUCAAGGUGCCAUAAAACUAACACAUUAAAAAUAUUUGAUGGUUAUGGAUAUGAAGGGCAUGAGAAUCCAUUUACUGCAUGCUUGAAUCUCAUGAAUUGGUUGACUUUUUCCAAACUUAUGAUUUGUCAAUGUUCGUCAUUUUCCAUGUUUGUGGAACCAAUCAUGAAUUAGCAGAUAGUCUCCUCCAGAUAAAUGAGCCUUCAAUCGUAAAAGAGUAAUUCGACUAAUUUCAAGUGAACAUCUUGAAGAUGGGCCUUGGAUCAACGAAGAAGCGCUGGAUCGACUAAUUAUAAGUGAACAUCAUGUUUUGACUCUUCUUAGUAUUCUCCACCACAGUUCCCACAUUCAAAAAAUAGAGAAAAUGGCACAAUGUACUAACCAUGACACACAAUUGGCAUACAUUAGCCAUGUUCUAAGAAGAUGGCACAAAAUGGACAUUUCACCCGUUUUGGGCCAUUAAAAAUAGUACCAGAUGACCCAUAAACCACCGAGUAAAUAUAGCUGAUCAUACCGUGCAUUCCCCAUUCUCGCUCCUACAAUGUUUCCUUCUCUCUUGUUUCUUCCCCUAAAAUCUCUCCAUUAGCACCGUGUAUCUCUGGAAGUAGAUAUAUUCUAAUCCCUAACCAUAGCUUUUGUAUACUGAUACCGUAUAAUUUCUCAAAAGAAUUCCAGGACCUUGUACUCAGAAUUUGGGAUACACAGUUGAUACCUCUUUUUGAGCGAUUUUGUUGAUUUUUAUUGCUAGUUCAAUGGGGAAGAACAGUGCCUCCAAGAAAGCUGUCAACAGUUCGUCUACAUUUGGAUUAAUGAUUCCAAGUUUGCGGGUUCAGUAUCCAUAUCUAAUUUCAUCACAUGCAAGGUCUUCUCGAUAUGAAAUUCGAAGUAAAAGAAGGGAGGAAACUGAACAAAUUCAAGCAAAGGGGAAAAAUAUUGCAGUAGCGCUGUUAGCCAUCAGACACUGAGCGUUAAAUCGCCAAAGAGGAAGAAUGUAUUAAAUGAGGAGGAUGGCAACGAGGGUGUCAAGCCCGCGAAGAGAAAGGCAAAACAAAAACUAGGGGAUGAACUCGCAAAUUGCCGAUUAAAGGAGUGGGGUUAUUAUGUCCGAAAAGACAAGCAAUUCCUAAGUUCUCGCUGGAGCUCCCAUAUAAAUAUGGGGGUUGUGAAUUCAUUAUGAUUAAAACUUAACAAAGUUCAGGUUAACAGAUUUAGGCAGAUAUUUUUUGGGUACUUCCUUGAUAUGCCAGAAGUCAUGUCCAAAACCAAGUGAUAUGUUCCCUAAUGAGAAGGGAGCUGGUUCAUGAUCAGGAUGACCUGUUUUAUGUCAAAAUAGACGGAACCAGAUUGUGUUUUGGAUUAAAAGAAUUAUCCAUAGUAGCUGAUUUGGUUUGUUGUGUGUAGGAGAGGUCGAUCGUGUAGACAAUUAUACUGCUUCAAACAGCUUUUGUGUACUUCUUUAAUAUGCCAGAAAUCCAUGUCCAGAACUAAGUAAUACGUUGCCGAGUAUUUCAUCCACCAGCGCGCAACUUUGUUGCUGAUCAGCACCGAAACAGAAUCACCACAUUACUGUGAGAUUAUGGAAAAACAACAAUAAGUUGUUGACAGUGAACUAGAGUUCACCAACAGAAUCUACAAGAGAAGGAAGGUGCAUCACGAAAAAAAAAAAUGAUUGUAUCGUUCAAUAUACUUGAUAUCGUUUUGGAUGUAAAUACUAGUAAUAUUUAUUUUGUUGAUAUUUUUUUUUCCUAAUGCGCUUAAUAUGAUUGUGAAGGAAAUAAAUGUCUUACUGCUUA